rnacentral:tRNA from 1 species
GGAGAUGUGGCUGAGUGGUUGAAGGCACCGCACUCGAAAUGCGGCAUACGGGAAACCGUAUCGUGAGUUCAAAUCUCACCAUCUCCGCCU